CGAGUUCUGGCUCAGGACGAACGCUGGCGGCGUGCUUAACACAUGCAAGUCGAGCGAUGAAGCUUCUUCGGAAGUGGAUAGCGGCGGACGGGUGAGUAACACGUGGGUAACCUACCUCAUAGAGGGGAAUAGCCUUCCGAAAGGAAGAUUAAUACCGCAUAAGAUUGUAAUAUCGCAUGAUAUAGCAAUUAAAGGAGCAAUCCGCUAUGAGAUGGACCCGCGUCGCAUUAGCUAGUUGGUGAGGUAACGGCCCACCAAGGCGACGAUGCGUAGCCGACCUGAGAGGGUGAUCGGCCACAUUGGGACUGAGACACGGCCCAGACUCCUACGGGAGGCAGCAGUGGGGAAUAUUGCACAAUGGGGGAAACCCUGAUGCAGCCAACGCCGCGUGAGUGAUGACGGUCUUCGGAUUGUAAAGCUCUGUCUUCAGGGACGAUAAUGACGGUACCUGAGGAGGAAGCCACGGCUAACUACGUGCCAGCAGCCGC
rnacentral:rRNA from 1 species